rnacentral:rRNA from 1 species
AUUGAACGCUGGCGGCAUGCUUUACACAUGCAAGUCGAACGGUAACAGGCCGCAAGGUGCUGACGAGUGGCGAACGGGUGAGUAAUGCAUCGGAACGUGCCCAGUCGUGGGGGAUAACGCAGCGAAAGCUGCGCUAAUACCGCAUACGAUCUCUGGAUGAAAGCGGGGGACCGAAAGGCCUCGCGCGAUUGGAGCGGCCGAUGUCAGAUUAGGUAGUUGGGGGGGUAAAGGCCCACCAAGCCAACGAUCUGUAGCUGGUCUGAGAGGACGACCAGCCACACUGGGACUGAGACACGGCCCAGACUCCUACGGGAGGCAGCAGUGGGGAAUUUUGGACAAUGGGCGCAAGCCUGAUCCAGCAAUGCCGCGUGCAGGAAGAAGGCCUUCGGGUUGUAAACUGCUUUUGUACGGAACGAAACGGUCCGGGUUAAUACCCUGGGCUAAUGACGGUACCGUAAGAAUAAGCACCGGCUAACUACGUGCCAGCCGCCGCGGUAAGAC